rnacentral:rRNA from 1 species
GAGUUUGAUCUUGGCUCAGAUUGAACGCUGGCGGCAUGCCUUACACAUGCAAGUCGAACGGCAGCAUGAUCUAGCUUGCUAGAUUGAUGGCGAGUGGCGAACGGGUGAGUAAUACAUCGGAACGUGCCCUGUAGUGGGGAUAACUAGUCGAAAGAUUAGCUAAUACCGCAUACGACCUGAGGGUGAAAGUGGGGGACCGCAAGGCCUCAUGCUAUAGGAGCGGCCGAUGUCUGAUUAGCUAGUUGGUGGGGUAAAGGCCCACCAAGGCGACGAUCAGUAGCUGGUCUGAGAGGACGAUCAGCCACACUGGGACUGAGACACGGCCCAGACUCCUACGGGAGGCAGCAGUGGGGAAUUUUGGACAAUGGGCGAAAGCCUGAUCCAGCAAUGCCGCGUGUGUGAAGAAGGCCU